rnacentral:rRNA from 1 species
GACGAACGCUGGCGGCGUGCCUAAUACAUGCAAGUAGAACGCACAGUUUAUACCGUAGCUUGCUACACCAUAGACUGUGAGUUGCGAACGGGUGAGUAACGCGUAGGUAACCUGCCUGGUAGCGGGGGAUAACUACUGGAAACGCUAGCUAAUACCGCAUAAUAUUAAUUAUUGCAUGAUAAUUGAUUGAAAGAUGCAACUGCAUCACUACCAGAUGGACCUGCGUUGUAUUAGCUAGUAGGUGAGGUAACGGCUCACCUAGGCGGCGAUACAUAGCCGAGCUGGGAGGGUGAUCGGCCCCACUGGGACUGGGACACGGCCCAGACUCCUACGGGAGGCAGCAGUAGGGAAUCUUCGGCAAUGGACGAAAGGCUGACCGAGCACCGCCGCGUGAGUGAAGAAGGGUUUCGGAUCGUAAAGGUCUGUUGUAAGGGAAGAACGGGUGUGAGGGUGGAAAGUUCACACUGUGACGGUACCUUAACAGAAAGGGACGGCUAACUACGUG